rnacentral:rRNA from 1 species
GGGGGCGCUUAUAUGGNCAGUCGAGCGAGCUUGCCUAGAUGAUUUUAGUGCUUGCACUAAAUGAAACUAGAUACAAGCGAGCGGCGGACGGGUGAGUAACACGUGGGUAACCUGCCCAAGAGACUGGGAUAACACCUGGAAACAGAUGCUAAUACCGGAUAACAACACUAGACGCACGUCUAGAGUUUGAAAGAUGGUUCUGCUAUCACUCUUGGAUGGACCUGCGGUGCAUUAGCUAGUUGGUAAGGUAACGGCUUACCAAGGCAAUGAUGCAUAGCCGAGUUGAGAGACUGAUCGGCCACAUUGGGACUGAGACACGGCCCAAACUCCUACGGGAGGCAGCAGUAGGGAAUCUUCCACAAUGGACGAAAGUCUGAUGGAGCAACGCCGCGUGAGUGAAGAAGGGUUUCGGCUCGUAAAGCUCUGUUGGUAGUGAAGAAAGAUAGAGGUAGUAACUGGCCUUUAUUUGACGGUAAUUACUUAGAAAGUCACGGCUAACUACGUGCCAGCAGCCGCGGUAAUACGUAGGUGGCAAGCGUUGUCCGGAUUUAUUGGGCGUAAAGCGAGUGCAGGCGGUUCAAUAAGUCUGAUGUGAAAGCCUUCGGCUCAACCGGAGAAUUGCAUCAGAAACUGUUGAACUUGAGUGCAGAAGAGGAGAGUGGAACUCCAUGUGUAGCGGUGGAAUGCGUAGAUAUAUGGAAGAACACCAGUGGCGAAGGCGGCUCUCUGGUCUGCAACUGACGCUGAGGCUCGAAAGCAUGGGUAGCGAACAGGAUUAGAUACCCUGGUAGUCCAUGCCGUAAACGAUGAGUGCUAAGUGUUGGGAGGUUUCCGCCUCUCAGUGCUGCAG